UCUACACAAGUAUGCCUACUUGAUCAACAGGCUGAUUCAGAGCUUGUGUAGAACAACUUAAUAAUGUCAGCAGUCUUACUGAAUGAGGCAGCUGCAAGUCAAGAUGAAGGAAUUCUUCAUUCUAGCUUGUGGUGUUUUGUCAUGCCUUAUUUGAGCUGAAUU
rnacentral:ncRNA from 1 species